rnacentral:lncRNA from 1 species
UUGAUCAGUGUCAGUCUCUGAACCGCAAUUUUCUUCACCUGUCAACUCGGAACAUAGAUACUCACUCUGCCAUCUAUGAAUACUGUUUUUUAAUCAAAUAAUAUAAAAUAUGAGUGCACACUUUGAAGUAUAAACUAAACCAUACUGCUAAAAGGGGUUACGAAGUCUUAUUCUCCUGAAAGUAGAGAUAAAGUGUCAGUGUCAGAAAUCAAGGCUUUUCUAGGAUUGUUGAAUCUUUGCACUAGAAAUAGAAAGGUAUUUAGCUGCCAUUUAUAUAGCACCUUCAUUGUUCAUACAGUACAAAUGAAAGUUAUAGGGAAAAUGACAUAGAGAAGUUAACAGAAACAGUUACAUAGCUAAGUGGUGAUUUGAAUGUAACAACUUAUCUUGGAUCCCAGGCUUUGGCUGCCAUUUCACAGUCUGUACCCUUUUUUGUCCCUGUAUCCUCCAUUAUCUGAACUCCUUGUGUCCCACACUGUAAACAAAGUGCUUGAUUUGGCAUGAGCCAUUAAACAGCAGGGCUGCUUUUUAGAAGACAUGGGAUCAGUUAAGAUUUCCCUAUGCAUGUACAGAUCGUGUGCAUCAGAAGCAAGGGCAUCCUGAACCAAGAAGUGAGUGGGGGCAUGUUUCUUACACUUUGUGCUUCGGGAUGUUUGUCAGAAACUGCUAUUCAUUUCCUAACACCAAAUAAAGUUCACAUCUCAGAACAAUA